UACGUAGGCAGCAAGCGUUGUUCGGAGUUACUGGGCGUAAAGAGUGCGUAGGCGGUGCUCUAAGUUUGGUGUGAAAUCUCCCGGCUCAACUGGGAGGGUGCGCCGAAAACUGGAGUGCUUGAGUGUGGGAGAGGCAAGCGGAAUUCCUGGUGUGGCGGUGAAAUGCGUAGAUAUCAGGAGGAACACCUGUGGUGUAGACAGCUUGCUGGACCAUAAACUGACGCUGAGGCACGAAAGCGUGGGUAGCAAACAGG
rnacentral:rRNA from 1 species